ACAUAAAUCUUAGAUAUUAUAGAAUUUUUUCUAUGAUAUAUUUUUUACAAAUAUAUUUCUAGAUAUGACAAUUAGUCUCGCGUAUAAAAUUUACAUCGUAUAAAAAUUCUAAUAAUAAAUAAUUCACUCUCAUUGAGAAAUGUGGGAAAACGGUAUAGGGGAGGGGAAGGAUGGGAGAUUAUUGGGAUGACAUUACGCGUGCCUAUUUGUUCAUGAAUUAAUUCAUUUGCAAACAAAAGCUUUUUUGUGAUUCUUAUCUUCCUUCGAUGUUCCACGACAAGCGGCGUCUAACUUGAAUAACGAAAAUUCCUUCGAUCAUUCAUUCACGUGAGAAUUUCCAAUUCGGCCGAAUUUCAUUCGACAAAGAAAAAAAAGAAAAAAAGAAGAAGAAAAAUUCGAAAUUCGACGAACGAAAGAUUUAACGUGAGAAAAAUUAUUAUCAUAUUAAAUGAUAGGAAACAACGAAAAAAAAAAAAAAAAAAAAAAAGAAGAAAAGAAAAUUGUAAUAUUCAAAAGAAGAAACUUUAGCGUCGUAAAAUUUAUAAAUUAGAUUUACAUUGAUUGAUUCGAUUACUAUAUCGUAUCGUAGAUGUUACUCUAUCGUCGAUUAAAUAGGAUGUUGAUCCUUGAAAAUGAUGUCUCUCUUCUUAUCUUUUUGUUUUUCUUUUUUUUUUUUUUUUUUUUUUCUUUUUUGGUUCUACACUUUAUGCAAAGAUCACUACUUACAUAUAUUUCACUCAUUAUAUACUUCCUAUAUUUAUUAUUAAAUAUGGUAUUAUAAAUAUAUUGAUAAAUAGUAGAUCGUAUGUACGAUCGUAGAAAUGAUUUUUUUUCUUUUUUUUUUUUUUUCUUUCUUCAUACCCAAGAUCAAUAUGAUCUAUCCUAACAGAUCGCACUCCUCGCAGUCGAUCUCUUCUAUACGUCCAACGUGGGAUAUUUUGUAUCAUAAGAUAUGCGUUAACGAGCAUACAUACAUCAUACACAUACGAACUCGUACAUAUAUUACACUCAUAUGUAUUUGUCAGGUACAUAUAUAUAUAUGUAACUGAUAUAUACAGAAAAUUCGUGGCGCGUAAAACGGGUUGAAUCACUCCAGUUUAUUUUCGUAUACGUUCUUUGCCUUCUCCUCGUUGUAUACGAAUCAUAGGCGUUUAUACAUACAUACAUAUAUAUAUAUAUGUAUGUAUAUAUAUACGUAUACAUAAGUACUUAUUCUAGAUACGUAUAUAGUUUAUAGAAAAUUAAUAGCAAGAGUUACGGCGGAGCUACGAAUGGACUGGGCACUUUAACGGAAAUGUUGCAUGUUUACAUUAAUAACUUCACGUUUAUUUCGCUCUUCCUAUCUAUUAUCUCACUCUCUCUCUCUCUCUCUCUCUCUCUCACUCUCUCUCUGUCUCUCUCUUUUUUUUAUCUAUCUAUCUAUCUCCUUUUCUCUCUCUUCACCGAGAUGAUGUAUAUAUCGUACAGUUAUAUUCAUUGAUUUAAGCACAAAUAAUAGUGCUCACUUGCAUGUGCGUAUACACAUUUAGAAAAGAGAGAUUGCUAUAAUAUAUUUUCUUUCUUUCUUUCUUUCUUUCUUUCUUUCUUUCGUUCUUUCUAUUUAUUUAUCUUUCUACUUUGUUCUUUUCAUUUUUAUUUUUCCCUCGUUCUUUCUUUCACUUCUUUUUCUUCUUCUUUUUAUUAUACGUUAUUCCAAAGCAUGACACAUUGUUGUCGUUCAAUCCGAUAUACUUCUUCCACCCCGCCCCCCUUCGUUUUAUUUAUUUACUAUUCUCGAUAAUGCGAUAAGAGUUCAACAAAAAAAAAAAGAAAAAAAAAAGAAGAAUAAAAAAUAAAAAAAAAAUAAAAAAAAAUAAAAAAUAAAGAGAAAAGAAAAGAUACGCUCGUUCACCUUUUUCUCUGUAUUCUCUUAGCUGUUCGAUGGUAAACAAUUCAAAAGGAAAAAAGAAAUGAGAGGAGAAAAGAAAUGGAAAGAAAAAAGUUAUAAAAGGAAAGGAAAAGGAAAAAGAAAAAAAAAAAAAAAAGAAAAAAAAGAAAUAAGACAAGAGGAGGCCGUUCGACCAUUUGCUUGGUGAUCUUUCAUUAUUGGCGAAAUUUUCGAUAGUUUCCUUUGAACACAGGAUCAAUAUAUUUUUUUUUUGUCGUCUUCACAUAUCUCAUGUGUCCGAUCGAUAUCCGAUCGAUUAUCAUCUUGCUUAAAAUCCCUUUUUGCCUUCUAGAUGCUCGAUCCAUUUUGCCAAUCCCCCCUUUUUAUGGAUUCGCGCGUUUUCGGAGGAGGAAGUUUCUCUUCUUUUUUUUUUUCUCCUCCACGCAGAACAUUCGUACAGAGGAGAGUGUUCGGUUAUAUUUUGAAUAAUUUUAUUUUGUUUUUUGUUCUUAUAUCCUCCUUUUUUUUUUUUUGUUCUAUUUCAAUUACUAAAUACACGAACAAGAUGCCGUAUGAAAAAAGUUGUUCGGUUGGAAUAAAAUCGAUUGGAACAAAAAAAAAAAAAAAAAAAAUUUUUAUUAUUAUUAACUCGAUCGAAAACAAUUAUUACAGUUUUAUAAUUGAAGUAAACUUGUCAUGUUGUAUGAUCUAAAAAACCGAAUGUGAAAAUUUUCUUCAUUAUAUUUUUUAUAGCCUAUAUGAUAAGAAAAGAAAAAAAAAAUAACAAAACGAACGUAACAGAUGUAUACCUAAAUUAAAUUGUGCCAUAAAUAGAAAGACGUUUACGAAUGUUCGGCGUGUCGAAUUCUCCUUCGACGAAUAAGAAAAAAAAAAAAAAAAAAAAAAAAAUAAGAGAAAACAAGAGUAAGAAAAAAAAAGGAAAUAAUAACGCAUAAAAAAGCAUCGUUUCGAACGACCGACGGAAUGAAAGUGACGAAAAGGAAAAGAAGAAAAAAAAAAAACAAAGAAAAAAGGAAAAAAGGAAA